rnacentral:lncRNA from 1 species
GUUGGUUUCAAACAAAAUAAGUUUCUCUACAAGGAUAGCACUGCGAAAUAUAUUAAGCAACUACCAUGUUAAAAAUCACCAAUUUAACAAACAAAACCUUGUAGUACACAUAAUAGCCUUUUAAUUUCCAGCAGUUUAUAUCUGAAGUAAUAGUCCUUUCUAUUGCUAUCUCUAAUAAUUGUCAACUUUUUCAGAAGCAAUACAUUAUGUAAGAAU